rnacentral:rRNA from 1 species
UACGAAGGGGGCAAGCGUUGUUCGGAUUUACUGGGCGUAAAGGGCGCGCAGGCGGCCCGUCAAGUCAGAUGUGAAAGCCCCGGGCUCAACCUGGGAACUGCAUUUGAGACUGACGGGCUCGAGUUCGGGAGAGGAUGGCGGAAUUCCCAGUGUAGAGGUGAAAUUCGUAGAUAUUGGGAAGAACACCGGUGGCGAAGGCGGCCAUCUGGACCGAGACUGACGCUGAGGCGCGAAAGCGUGGGGAGCAAACAGG